GGUUAAGCGACUAAGCGUACACGGUGGAUGCCCUGGCAGUCAGAGGCGAUGAAGGACGUGCUAAUCUGCGAAAAGCGACGGCGAGGUGAUAUGAACCUUUGACCCGUCGAUGUCCGAAUGGGGAAACCCAGUGUGUUUCGACACACUAUCGUUAACUGAAUACAUAGGUUAACGAGGCGAACCGGGGGAACUGAAACAUCUAAGUACCCCGAGGAAAAGAAAUCAACCGAGAUUCCCCCAGUAGCGGCGAGCGAACGGGGAGCAGCCCGGAGUCUGAAUCAGCUUGUGUGUUAGUGGAAGCGUCUGGAAAGUCGCACGGUACAGGGUGACAGUCCCGUACACGAAAAUGCACAGGUUGUGAACUCGAAGAGUAGGGCGGGACACGUGGUAUCCUGUCUGAAUAUGGGGGGACCAUCCUCCAAGGCUAAAUACUCCUGACUGACCGAUAGUGAACCAGUACCGUGAGGGAAAGGCGAAAAGAACCCCGGCGAGGGGAGUGAAAAAGAACCUGAAACCGUGUACGUACAAGCAGUGGGAGCACCUUCG
rnacentral:rRNA from 1 species